rnacentral:rRNA from 1 species
AGCUCCAAUAGCGUAUAUUAAAGUUGUUGCAGUUAAAAAGCUCGUAGUUGGAUUUGUGGUGUAUUUCGGCGGCCCAUCACUUAGUGCUGGAGCUUGCUGAAAUCGCCAUCCUUGGGUGGAUCCUGUGUGGCAUUAAGUUGUCGUGCAGGGGAUGCCCAUCGUUUACUGUGAAAAAAUUAGAGUGUUCAAAGCAGGCUUAUGCCGUUGAAUAUGUUAGCAUGGAAUAAUAAGAUAGGACCUUGGUACUAUUUUGUUGGUUUGCGCACCAAGGUAAUGAUUAAUAGGGACAGUUGGGGGUAUUCGUAUUUCAUUGUCAGAGGUGAAAUUCUUGGAUUUUUGAAAGACGAACUACUGCGAAAGCAUUUACCAAGGAUGUUUUCA